rnacentral:rRNA from 1 species
CCUACGGGAGGCUGCAGUGAGGAAUAUUGGUCAAUGGGCGGGAGCCUGAACCAGCCAAGCCGCGUGAAGGAAGAAGGCGCCAGGCGUCGUAAACUUCUUUUGUCGGGGAACAAAGGGCGCCACGCGUGGCGUUGUGAGUGUACCCGAAGAAAAAGCAUCGGCUAACUCGGUGCCAGCAGCCGCGGUAAUACGGAGGAUGCGAGCGUUAUCCGGAUUUAUUGGGUUAAAGGGGUGCGUAGGCGGUCCGGAAAGUCAGCGGGAAAAGCCUGGGGCCCAACCCCGGCGAGCCGUUGAAACUGGCGUUCUUGAGUGGGCGAGAGGUAUGCGGAAUGCGUGGUGUAGCGGUGAAAUGCAUAGAUAUCACGCAGAACUCCGAUUGCGAAGGCAGCAUACCGGCGCCCAACUGACGCUGAGGCACGAAAGCGUGGGUAUCGAACAGGAUUAGAUACCCUAGUAGUC